rnacentral:piRNA from 1 species
UAAAGGCUAAAGCCUGUGUUUGGGCAAUG